GACACCGUAGCCAAGUGGUUACGGCGACAGAUUCGAAUAUCGGUUCCUGGAACCCCUUAUCUGUUACUCUUGUAGUGCGUAGGUUCGAAUCCUGCCGGUGUCG